UUUUCUCAUUAUAAAAUAUUUUGUAGUUCUUUUUUUUAUAUACAUGUUGGAUAAACGGACGGGAGACGCACCUGUACUGCCCAUGGACAUCUGCAAUACCGAAGAGUAUGACAGGGUGAGAGUCUCACGGUGUGCGCGCGAGUGGGUCGCAGGGCGGCGGCGCAGGCGAGGCGGCAGAAGGCGGAGGCGGGGCGGCGGCACCACAGCAGCGCCAGCCCCAGGUUGUGCGCGGCGCGCGCGCUCAGCGGCGCCACCGUCGCCGCGCGGGACAGGCAGGUCAGCGCCUGCCGCGCGACCGCACCAGCAUAGCGGCUAGCGCUAGUGCUGCAGCAUGCUGCAUAGGCUGCUGGGAUAGUGCUUCGCCUAGCAAUUGAAAGGCACGGCGAGGAUCGCCUGCCCUGAGACUCAGUGCCCCUGCCGCAGCUAGAGUAUCAGCGCCGCAAGCAUGACUCCUAAGAUCAAAUAUCUGAAGUCGAGCCAGUUUGAAAUGAAAUGGUGUAUAUUGAAAAAAAAGCAGUGCGACUGCAUUAAGUAGAUGACAUUAUUACAUUAUAAAAAAUUAUUUUGAUGAACUUGGCAAACAGCUUAACAAUUUUACAAAAAAAAAUGUAGCACAAAUAGUGUUUGAUUAUUUGUGUGUAGAAAUGGAUAAAAUAAGUACUGUCUAUUACAAUGGCAGGAGAAGUAAGGUUAGACUUUGGCCUCGAAUUGACAUGACGUCAUAUGCUAUUUACUAUCGAUGUAAGUUGUUAUUUGAACUUUGGAAAUAAGUGAAAGUGAUAAUAACUAUUCAUUAUUGACGUGUGAUUAUAACUUUCUUUUAUAUUAGGCAUUUAUUAUCUUGAUAUGGAAAUGUAAUUCGAAAGAAUAAAUGUCAAUUAACAAAAAGAGCUUUCGGCAUGAAUUUAGGCUAUAGGGCAAAAGCAUUCGGGUAGAUAAAUGCAAGCGAUAGGUGAUAUAAUGCAUCUAACGCGAGAGCGUGGUCGUAGGCCGCCAGCGCGCCGGGCACGUCGCCGGCCGCCAGCAGCAGCCGCGCCAGCAGCGCCGCCGCGCGCUCCCCGCCGCCCGCGCCCUGCGCCGCGCGCGCCCACUCCACGCCCGCGCCCCGCACGCCCCCCGCGCCCGCCACCGCACUCGCACAUUCCGCUGCAUUUGAGAUAAUGGAACCAAAUGACCAUCAUCCCAUUUUCGAACGCAGGCAAACACCACUGACUUUUCAUGUGCUUAAUUCGUAUUCAUAAUCCGAUAGUGGAAUAUUGAUGACCUCCGGACCGAUUUCGGCCACGUCCUCAUGGACGUAACUCACCAGGCAUUAUAUUUACUGUACUUGUAAUUUAUAUAUUGACAAUAAGCCAGUGCAGUGCCACCGUCUGACUCAAAUCGCAUUUUAACAACUACCGACCUAAAGCACAAUAGAUUUCUGGAUCUGGCUGCUUAGAUAAUUUAUCUGCUUCCAAAUAAGCUUCCAGUGCCAGUUGAAAACGACCUUGGCGAUAUCUGAAACAAAAUGUUUAUAAUUAUGCUCCUCAUUUUUAUCAAUUUGUAAAUAAUCAACUUUUUCAUAAUAAAUAUAAUAUUAACUUUUUAAUAUAAAAUUUACUUUUAACUAAACAAUUCUAAUAUUACUAACAAGCACUUAGCUACUUGUUUUAAGGGUUCUGGAUCCUGCGGCUGUAGCCGAAUACAGCUGUGGAACUUAUCCACUGCCUCUUGAAGUCUCCCUGCGUCAGCCAAAACUGCACCCUGUACAUAUUUUUAAAAAUCUGAUAUUUAUCAGAACCUCAAUGUAAAUCGAAAUGUUAGGCUAUGCGUGGUUUUAUAAACCAUUAUAAGUAAUAUAACUAUUGUUUGACCUAUAACUAGAAUGAAUGAGCUACAAUUUAAAAAUACAACUUUGCGAGUUAACGAAAGAUAUAUCAUGGUCAUUAAUAUUUUUUGCUUUUCUUACCUUUAUAUAGUACGCAAAUCUGU